AAAACUUUCAACAACGGAUCUCUUGGUUCUAGCAUCGAUGAAGAACGCAGCGAAAUACGAUACGUAAUGGGAAUUGCAGAAUUCCGUGAAUCAUCGAAUCUUUGAACACACAUUGAACCCCUUGGAAUUCCAGGGGGCAAACCUGUUUAAGAGUCAUUUCCUUUUCAAACCUUAAAUUUGGUAAAGAAAGAUACUAUUUGGAGUUAACUUGAAAUUGCUGGC
rnacentral:rRNA from 1 species